ACCAAUCUCCGAGUGGAAUCCAGACGCGCUGCAGUAGUAACUGAUACUGAAGUGCUGACAUCCAUUCGCCUCCUCGAGCCGCCCAGAGGUUGGGGGUCGCCAACCUACUAGCAGGAAGAGCAGGCGGGUCUUCCGUUCUCUGAAUUCACCCCUUUCCCCUGACGCUCGUGCCCGGCAUGGCUGAGAUUGUGGAGUUCUGCGUCCCCUCCGGGAAUGAUCGGACUCUUCUUGUCUUGGGGCUGGAGUCGGAUGCAUCGGAGCAUGCUCUAUACCUUACCUUCUCUGCCUUUGGACUGCUCCAUUCUGUAAGACUCCACAGAAAUGUUCCAGUAGCUGGGCCUGGCUAUUAUGCUUUUGUUAAGUUCUACUCUGCCCGAGAUGCCAGCAGGGCACAACAGGCUUGCAAUGGGAGGUCACUGUUUCAGAAAACUGCUCUGAAGAUUUGCAUUUGUACCAGACAGAGGGCUCUUACAAAGCAAACAUUACCUUUGAACAUUCACAAAAGCCAAGAAUUAGCUAAUUACUACCUUGGUUUCAAUGGUUGGUCCAGUCGCAUCAUCACUCUGCAGAAUAUACCUGGCUUUGAAGAUAAUGAGAAAAAAGAAAGAGGAACUUUACCCAGGCACCAUCAUUCAAAGUAUCUUUGUGUGCAAGAAUUAAACAUCCCUCAUUAUGGGAUUUAUACCAGAGGGAUUGGAGUGGCUGAACUUCAGGUGAACCCCAAUCAAGAGUUUCUGAUGGCCACCCGCAAUGCUCAGAAGUUUGCAGUGCAACAGGCACUCUCGGAUGCAUUUCGGAAAAUACUCUUCAUAAUCCUAGAAAAUGGGAAGUUGGCAGUGGAGUACAACUAUCCUGAGAAAGACCUCAUUGACUGUGUAUCAGAAGACGAACUCAGGGGUCUCAUUCAGGGAUUUUACUGGAAACAAUUUUUUCCAUGAAUAAACGGGUGUGGUGGGCCUAUCCUUGGACUGAAUACUUGAUUCUCAAGAACAAUCAUUUGCAUAGACUGGAUAAUACGUCUCUAGAUGGCUUGCUUUCACUCACACAUCUGAAUGUCUCCAGACCAUUGAGAAAAAUGCAUUUGAGCCUGUUCCACUCCUGCAAUCUAUCAAUCUCAGUGGCAACCAUAUUUUGCGGAUAACGCAGGGGGCCUUUCAGGCUUGGCAUGGGAUGCAGUUUCUAUCCAAGUUUAUUUUGCCUAGGAAAAUGUCCUGCUGCCUUUGCAAAAAUCAGGAUACCAUUGAAGCCUCAUCUAAUACCAUCAAGCUGGAUUGCACCAAUAGAUGUGUCUCAAACAUUAUUGAUUAUGAGAAAGAGGAACUUUGGGGAACCAUGCAAGAUGAAGUAAAGAAAGUACUGGAAACCAGAAAAUUAAAUUCUACCAACAUAUUAAAUAUUAUCUCUGAAAAACCUGAACAUUAUAAUGUCACUCUGUCACUCUUAAUGACCCAUGGGCGUAUUCAUUUAGGUAUCCAUUUUCAUAAACACAGACCACAUAUUUUAAAAUCAGCCAUCAGAUUAAGUAAACUCACCCCUGAUGAAUAUGUGGAUGUGAUGUGGUCUGAUAAAAAUGAGCUGAAAAAGCUGUACAAGUUAACAGAUUUGCUACUGGUAGCUCUCAAAGCAAAAUUAGCAGAAAGUGAACAGGAGACUCAAGCGUUGGAGAUCAAAAGGAAUUGCCUACAGAAAUUUCAGAAGAUUAUGGUAACAUCAUCCUGAGCACUAAAAGCCAUCGGAAAAGAUUUAAGGGACACCUGAAAAGGGUAAAGAGAGAUCAUUGGAUUGGGAAAAAUCCAGAAGAAAAAGAAUUAUUUCUAGAGGAAAAAGAAUUAUUUCUCAGGUUGCUCAGAGAAAACGUAGAAUUUGCAAAAACUACUGGAAAACUUGCAGGAGAACAAAGAAAUUUUGCUUUGUAUACCAUGGCAGAAAAAUUGGGGACACUAUCAAGGGAACUGGAGCUUCAGAAGGCUGCUUCCUUUAACAGGCUUCUUCAAGCAGCACUUCAUUCCUUAAAGAACUGCUCCAUUUUUCAUCUUCUAACUAAGCUUCCUCCUUUGACUGCUUCUGUUGUGGUUGAUGACAGUGCUGAGGAGUCAGAAACUUUGAAUGAACUCUCGCCUGAUAUAACAUUGUCUCAUAAGACACAUUGGAAACAUCAUGAACAAACCACCUCUGCUUCCCCUUUGCUUCAUCUUUUGGGAGACACUGCUUAUAAUUUGAUUCAGGGUGAACUCAAUAAAAUUGAAUUGAACACAGGGUUGGCAUCUUUCUUUCCAAGUAAGCCUAUCAGGAAACUCAUUUCCCUCAUGAUCCAUAUUAUGAAUGUGACCUGCAGAGAGUCCAAUAUCCAGAUGGCUUGUGCUAAAUUAAGCUCUAGAAUAGAUCUUCUCAUGAAAGACUUCAGUGUGAAAAGUAGCCAGGAGACA